AGAGCUAAGCGGCAGCAAUAGAUAGUAAAGUACUUCAAAUCACCAGGCUGGUCUCAUGAAGAAUCUCACUGAGGGAAAAUGGUCUACUGAUAUUCUGAGCUACCCAGCUGGCUCAGAAUAGAAGAAAUUGCCCAUCUUUUGAUCUAGAAAAAUGAACAGUCUAGAUCAGCACCAGCCAAUUCAGAAGCCACUAGCCUCACGAGGCUAUUGAGCACUAUGUGGCUAGUCAUCACAGUGUUGUAAAAUACAUAAUAUUUUAAAGACACUAUGAAUAAAAUAGUGUGAACUCUCCCAGUAAUAGUUUAAAAAAUUAUAUGUCAAACUGAUAUUUUGAAUAUAUUGUAUUAAAGGAAAUAUAUUAUUAAAAUUAACUUCACCUGUUUUUAUUUUUAUAAUGCAGCCUCUAAAGAAGUAGAAUUACCUAUGUGGCUCAUGUUAUAUUUCUACUGGAUAAUUCAGGGGUUAAUUGUGCAACUAUGCAUUGAGUGUCUACUGGCAGGUGCUGGCGAGCCUGACUCCCCGCCACUCGGAAGGCACAUUCUCCUAGAAAAAACCACGAGUACUCAGGGAUCACACAUCUGCAUCACGUCUCCUCUCACUUGUCCCUGUCACUUCACCCGUACUUCACCACGUGUGCCCGGCCUUGUCUAAUCCACCCAACCUUAGAACACAGGGGGAAACGCUUCCUGUUUGGAUUUCCGCAGCCCUUUUUUACCGAAACCUUAGCCAGGGAGCAGUGCUGGGUGCGAUUCCCCAGGCAGGAUGGAACACCCUGCAGACGUCUGCCAGGGCUCUGACGCCCAGCUCGUCAGCCUUUCAGAACAGCCCUGGGUGCGGGGUCUAACAGCGAGGCCGGUGAGCUGAAGGUGCCGGCAUGCGGGUCAGGUGGUGUUCAGGUCACGUGGAAUGUGGGUCACAAGGUGGAGCAGGUUGCAGAGGGACUGCACGUGGGAAGCACAGAGUUAACGCUGGCCUUUCUCCAGUCUGGACAUCUGCUUUCUUCGUGGCCUUGCGAAGUGUUGGCCCAGCCUCAAGUCAGCUACAGCCUCUGCAGACCCUGAGGUUGUUCGGGGUGUCCCCACGUUCCCUACCCUGAAAAGUAAGGAACUGCUGUCCUUUGGAGCCGGCCAGCCACGUGGUCAGGCGCCUGUGGGAAGAGUGAGAACCGACAGGAGGAGUUCUCUGCCGUCCAGCACACAAUCAGACCUCCGCUGUGGUUUAUUUAUCCAAGACCUGCAGCAAGAUGUUUGCCUCCUUGGAGCCCCUGAGGCCUUGGUGUGGAGAGAAGCCUGCGCGUGGCCACAUCAAGUUUACAGAGGUUGAAGGUAGAAAACCCUGGGUUAAGAAUGAAAAAAGGGGAGAGGGAAAGUGAUAAGACUCAGAGAUCUGAUUUUCUUUGCCAAUCAGGAGAGAAGAAAAAAUCCUGAUUGAUUGUCUUGACAGCUACAAAUGUGGGCGACUUUGGGAAAAUACUUUUUUUUUUAAGUAUUAACAGAUUUGGGAGCUGACACCAAAGUGUAGCUGUUCACAAACCCCACAUUCCAACAGGAACGCUGUGUGUCUCUGGCAAAUGACUUCGAAAACUGCAUUAGCAAAGCAGCUCGGCCCUCAGAAAGAGAAAGUCCUGUGGUGAAGACCUCCUUUGGAGGCCUGUUUGCAGAAAUCUGAACCUCACUGAUUUGGAGAAUCCUGAUGGUAAGCUAGUCUGGGUUGUGCCUGGUGGGUCUGACAGCCAUAUUAUUUUUAAAAAUCCCUUGAGACAGCCUUUCACUGUUAGGCA